rnacentral:rRNA from 1 species
GGCAGCAGCCGCGGGAACACCGGCGGCCCGAGUGGUGAUCGUGAUUAUUGGGUCUAAAGGGUCCGUAGCCGGUUUGGUCAGUCCUCCGGGAAAUCUGAUAGCUCAACUAUUAGGCUUUCGGGGGAUACUGCCAGACUUGGAACCGGGAGAGGUAAGAGGUACUACAGGGGUAGGAGUGAAAUCUUGUAAUCCCUGUGGGACCACCUGUGGCGAAGGCGUCUUACCAGAACGGGUUCGACGGUGAGGGACGAAAGCUGGGGGCACGAACCGGAUUAGAUACCCGGGUAGUCCCAGCCGUAAACGAUGCUCGCUAGGUGUCAGGCAUGGCGCGACCGUGUCUGGUGCCGCAGGGAAGCCGUGAAGCGAGCCACCUGGGAAGUACGGCCGCAAGGCUGAAACUUAAAGGAAUUGGCGGGGGAGCACAACAACGGGUGGAGCCCUGCGGUUUAAUUGGACUCAACGCCGGACAACUCACCGGGGGCGACAGCAAUAUGUAGGCCAAGCUGAAGACUUUGCCUGAAUCGCUGAGAAGAGGUGCAUGG